rnacentral:tRNA from 1 species
UCCCUGGAGAAAUAGUGGUUAGGCCACAGCGCUCUCACUGCUGUGGCCCGGGUUCGAUUCCUGGCCAGGGAG